rnacentral:rRNA from 1 species
GACGAACGCUGGCGGCGUGCUUAACACAUGCAAGUCGAACGGUGAAGCGCCUUCCUUUUUGGUGGGUGUGGAUGAGUGGCGAACGGGUGAGUAACACGUGAGUAACCUGCCCCCUUCUUCUGGAUAACCGCAUGAAAGUGUGGCUAAUACGGGAUAUUCUGGGUCUGUCGCAUGAUGGGUCUGGGAAAGAUAUUGUUUCGGUGGGGGAUGGGCUCGCGGCCUAUCAGCUUGUUGGUGGGGUGAUGGCCUACCAAGGCGGUGACGGGUAGCCGGCCUGAGAGGGUGGACGGUCACACUGGGACUGAGACACGGCCCAGACUCCUACGGGAGGCAGCAGUGGGGAAUAUGGCACAGUGGGCGCAAGCCUGAUGCAGCGACGCCGCGUGAGGGAUGGAGGCCUUCGGGUUGUGAACCUCUUUCGCCAGUGAAGCAGGCCUGCCUCGUUUGUGGGUGGGUUGACGGUAGCUGGAUAAGAAGCGCCGGCUAACUACGUG